rnacentral:rRNA from 1 species
UACGGGGGGGAGCAAGCGUUGUUCGGAUUUACUGGGCGUAAAGGGCGCGUAGGCGGUCAGCACAAGUCAGUUGUGAAAUCUCCGGGCUUAACUCGGAAAGGUCAACUGAUACUGUGCGACUAGAGUGCGGAAGGGGCAACUGGAAUUCUUGGUGUAGCGGUGAAAUGCGCAGAUAUCAGGAGGAACACCGGUGGCGAAGGCGGUUCUCUGGGCAUGAUCUGACGCUGAGGAGCGAAAGUGUGGGGAGCGAACAGG